AAUAAACUCUGAAUUUUCAUGUCCAAAGUUUGACUGUCCGUCUUAUUUGAAAAAAUUAUAAAAAAAAUUAAAAAGACAAGUCAUGCAUAAAGUAUUAAUCAUGUUUUAUCAUCUAACAACAAUGAAAAUACUAAUUAUAAAAAAUUUGAUAUAAGACGGACAGUCAAACGUUGGACACGGAAAUACAGGGUUUGUCUUUUU
rnacentral:pre_miRNA from 1 species